rnacentral:rRNA from 1 species
GCGGGGAAAAGAAACCAACAGGGAUUGCCCUAGUAACGGCGAGUGAAGCGGCAACAGCUCAAAUUUGAAAUCUGGCCUUCUGGUCCGAAUUGUAAUUUGUAGAGGAUGCUUUUGGUUAGGUACCUUCCGAGUUCCUUGGAACAGGACGCCUUAGAGGGUGAGAGCCCCGUACGGUUGGAUACCGAGCCUCUGUAAAGCUCCUUCGACGAGUCGAGUAGUUUGGGAAUGCUGCUCUAAAUGGGAGGUAAAUUUCUUCUAAAGCUAAAUACCGGCCAGAGACCGAUAGCGCACAAGUAGAGUGAUCGAAAGAUGAAAAGCACUUUGAAAAGAGGGUUAAAUAGUACGUGAAAUUGUUGAAAGGGAAGGGCUUAUGACCAGACCUUUGCCUUGCGGAUCAUCCGGUGUUCUCACCGGUGCACUCCGCUUGGUUGAGGCCAGCAUCAGUUUCGGCGGCGGGAUAAAAGCUUCAGGAAUGUGACUCCCCCGGGAGUGUUAUAGCCUGUUGCAUAAUACCGCCGCUGGGACUGAGGACCGCGCUUCGGCUAGGAUGCUGGCAUAAUGGUCAUCAGCCACCCGUCUUGAAACACGGACCAAGGAGUCGAACAUUUAUGCGAGUUUUUGGGUGUUAAACCCUCAAGCGUAAUGAAAGUGAACGGAGGUGAGAGCCCUUACGGGUGCAUCAUCGACCGAUCCUGAUGUCUUCGGAUGGAUUUGAGUAAGAGCAUAACUGUUCGGACCCGAAAGAUGGUGAACUAUGCGUGGAUAGGGUGAAGCCAGAGGAAACUCUGGUGGAGGCUCGCAGCGGUUCUGACGUGCAAAUCGAUCGUCAAAUCUGCGCAUGGGGCGAAAGACUAAUCGAMCCCAAAC